rnacentral:rRNA from 1 species
UAGGGAAUAUUGGACAAUGGGUGUAAGCCUGAUCCAGCCAUGCCGCGUGCAGGAAGAAGGCCUUCUGGGUUGUAAACUGCUUUUGCCGGGGGAUAAAAGAUCCAUGCGUGGAGAAUUGAAGGUACCCGGUGAAUAAGCCACGGCUAACUACGUGCCAGCAGCCGCGGUAAUACGUAGGUGGCAAGCGUUGUCCGGAUUUAUUGGGUUUAAAGGGUGCGUAGGCGGUCCUGUAAGUCAGUGGUGAAAUACGGCAGCUCAACUGUCGAGGUGCCAUUGAUACUGCGGGACUUGAGUACAGACGAGGUAGGCGGAAUUGACGGUGUAGCGGUGAAAUGCUUAGAUAUCGUCAAGAACACCGAUAGCGAAGGCAGCUUACUAGACUGUAACUGACGCUGAGGCACGAAGGUGCGGGGAUCAAACAGG